rnacentral:misc_RNA from 1 species
GUUUGCACAUGUAAUCAGAGAUUUGGGUUUUGGAUGUUUUAUUUCUUGCUAAGUAGUGCAUUGGCCAAUUUCAUGGUUUCCUCCAAUUUUACAGGCUUAUGGUGUUUUCAUUUUUUCAAUUGGGGAUUUAGUUUAAAAUUUUUGAAAUUGCUUGAGGGUGUGAAUAGAUAAUUUGGUUCUGCGCCAAUGGUUGCUGAGAAAUGGUUCUGCUUUUCCAAUAUUAAAUGGAGAGUUAAGCUCCUGGACUUUAAUUCAAUUUUAUAUACUCCUAGUGUUAGAGAACGUGCUAUUUGAAUGAGAUUAUAUUGAAUCAUUAGUGUCAGAAAAUAUUGAACUAAAUUGGUUUUGUAGAUCCUGAAUUGGAUGUGUGCUUUUGUUUGUUGCUACAUCUUGUAUUAAUCAUGUGUGCCAAUUGGUAACAAUAUUAGAAAGAGCUUUUAAUUGUCUACUUUUACCUGCCUUUUUGUCUGCAGAAGGAAAAUUUGUUUGAAGUCUUUGUUCAUUUGAGGUGCUGCUGGUCAUAUUCAUAGCAACUGUAUAUGCAUGACGGCAGCUAGAUUUAUUUUUCUUUUAUGAUUAGAGAUGCAUUUGCAAUCAACUUUAUGAUGAAAGGGCAUUGUAGCAAGCAUCUUUCAUGUCUUGCAACUGCUUCUUAUCUUUAAUUUCCUUAGGAGUAACCUGGUUGGUGAGAUGACACAAUAUGCCUUUUUACUUUGCA